CGUGGCUAACCUGCCCUUGGGACAGAAACACCCCCGGGAAACUGGGGCUAAUUUCCGAUAGGUGAAGAAUCCUGGAAUGGAUUUUCGCCUAAAGGGCGCUUAGGGCAUGCUUCUAGGCGUUGCCCAAGGAUGGGGCCGCGGCCGAUCAGGUUGUUGGUGAGGUAAUGGCCCACCAAGCCUUUAACCGGUACGGGCCGUGGGAGCGGUAGCCCGGAGAUGGGCACUGAGACAAGGGCCCAGGCCCUACGGGGCGCAGCAGUCGCGAAAACUUCGCAAUAAGCGAAAGCUUGACGGGGCCAUCCCGAGUGCCAUCUGCUGAGGAUGGCUUUUACCCAGUAUAGAUAGCUGGGAGAAUAAGGAGAGGGCAAGUCUGGUGUCAGCCGCCGCGGUAAUACCAGCUCUCCGAGUUGUAGGGAUGUUUAUUGGGCCUAAAGCAUCCGUAGCCGGCUGGACAAGUCCUCUGUUAAAUCCAGCGACCAAUCGUUGGUCUGCGGGGGAUACUGUCCGGCUAGGGGGCGGGAGAGGCCGUCGGUAUUCUUGGGGUAGGGGUGAAAUCCUAUAAUCCCAGGAGGACCACCAGUGGCGAAGGCUGUCGGCUAGAACGCGCCCGACGGUGAGGGAUGAAAGCUGGGGGAGCGAACCGGAUUAGAUACCCGGGUAGUCCCAGCUGU
rnacentral:rRNA from 1 species